AAUGAAAAUUUUGACAAUAAGUUGUGGGACCAUCCGCUUGAGUAGAGUGUUCUUCCCACUCACAACCCUAGAGCACCCGCCGCUUGCUCUUGCUGGCCUGGGCCGCUGAUAGGGUAUUGAAUUAAGCAGGAAAAUCACGUUGCUGUCAUUUCCUGAUGUCCUACUUGCAAUAGCUUUUUAAAGAUCGGUGUCAUUUUCAGUUGUCCGAUAUUCUUUUUCUCAAAAGCUAGGGGAAAAGAUAGAUAUGAAUUGGAGGUGUUUCUUUAGCAAAAACACAGUCAACAAAAUCUCGAAACUCAAUGGUAGAGCAUUCAACCAGCAUUCAUCUGCUUACAGAUGCUUUGCAGCUGCUAGCAUCUCCAGCCCCCCUACUCCUCAUCCAUUAGGACCUCACCAUGGCUCAUCCUUUUCAAACUGCCCUAAGCACAACAAAAGUGAUAAUCAGUUUUGUAGAUGGAUUCAAACUUGGGGGCAAGUUAAGUUAGAUGAUGACUCAUCAAGUCAUUUGGAAUGUGAGUCAGAAGAUGAUGCUACAAUGAAUGAGUUCUUGUCCAGAUUUGUUUGGCUGAUGCGGAAAAAGCUCACUGCAGCUUAUCCCGAGUGUGACAAGGAUACAAUUAAUGGUAUGCUAGUGAUCAUUGUUGAAAAUGUUGUAUCAGAGAUGGAAAAGGGUGGUCUUCAGCAAGUGACCGGCCGCGGUGCUUCUGUGCCCCCACAGGAUUUUAGUGAGGAUUUGUGGAGAACUGUCUGGGACAUUAGCAAUAUAGUUCUGCAAGACAUGGAGAAAGAAAAGAAAAAAGAGAAAAUGAAGACAUUUCUUCAGUCUGAGGAUGUUAAGGAAAUGUACAGAUUUGCUGGUGAAGUGGGCAUUCGAGGAGAUAUGCUGAGAGAGCUCAGGUUCAAGUGGGCUCGUCAAAAGAUGGAGAAAAGUGAUUUUUAUGAGAGUUUGGAACGUAUGCGGAAAGGGGAAGCUCAAAACGACUCCCAAGAAAAAGAUCAAUGGGGAGAAGAAGAUGUUGCUGGGAAAGAGUUGGUGGCAGAUGAUAAUCUGCUUGAAGGAAAACAGACUAGUUUUUCACUUCCUAAAAGACAUGGCAAGAUCAAGUACACGAUCUAUGGGCUUGAUUUAUCAAAUCCAAAGUGGGCUAAGGUGGCGGAUAAAAUUCACGAGAGCAGCAAAGUUAUGUGGCCCGAGGAGCCAAAGCCAAUAUCUAACAAGUGCAAACUUGUUACUGAAAAGAUCCUUUCAUUGAAAGAUAAGGAUGAUCCUGCUCCACUUCUAGGUGAAUGGAAAGAUCUUCUCCAACCUAGCAGGAUUGAUUGGGUUGCUCUUCUUGAUAGAUUGAAAGAACAGAAUUCUCAUCUAUAUUUCAAGGUUGCAGAAUAUCUGCUUUCUGAAGAUUCUUUCCAGGCAAGUGAUCGGGACUACUCAAAACUGAUUGAUGCUCUUGCUAAGGAAAAUCGCUUAGAAGAUGUCGAGAGAAUCCUAAAGAAUAUGAAUGACAGAGGCAUUCUACCUGAUGUUAUCACAUCAAUAAUAUUGAUCAAAAUGUACUGUAAGGUAGGAAAUCUUAGUCGAGCAAAAGAAGCAUUUGAUAGCUGCAAGGCCCAUGGAUUCCAACCAGAUGUGAAGUUGUACAGUUCUAUGAUCAUGGCCUACUUGAAAGCAAAUCAACCAAAAGAUGGUGAGUCUUUAAUGAGAGAAAUGGAAACUAGGGGUAUAAAGCCUCCAAAGGAGAUGUUCAUGGCCUUACUUCAAUUGUAUACCAAAGCUGGCCGUGCUAAUGAAGCUGAACGAAUUUUCAGCGCCUUGCAAUUUACCGGAGGUUACAGUCUGGACCUUGAAUCUUUGACAUUAAUUGUUGAGGCAUUUGCAAAAGCUGGUAACCCUCAACGUGCUAUGACUUAUUUUGAUCAGAUCCUGAGCCUACGGCACAAGCCAGAUGAUAGAUGCACUGCCAAUGUAAUUGCUGCCUAUCAAAAGAGGGAUUUGUUGGACCAAGCAAUAGGGCUCCUAUUGAGACUUGAGGAGGAAGGGUUUGAGCCCGGGGUAGCUACUUAUACAGUUCUGGUUGAAUGGUUUAGCAAGUUGGACCUUCUUGAGGAAGCCGAACAAUUAUUGGAUAAGAUUGCCGAGCUGGGUGAGACUCCUCCAUUUAAGCUCCAUGUGAGCCUUUGUGACAUGUGCAUCAAGUCAGGAGCUGAGAAGAAGGCAUUGCAAGCUUUGGGAGUUCUGGAGUCAAAGCUUGAUGAGUUGGAGUCAGAGGACUUUGAGAGGAUUAUAAAGUCACUUUGUGAUGGUGGCUAUGUGCAAGAUGCUGAAAGGGUACAUGGGCUAAUGAAGUCUCGGGGAUUUGUUUUGUCCGAACGUGUGAGCGUGAAUUUGUUGUCAUCUAAAAGUAUGGGAAAGAAUAAGAAGACACUAACGAGAGAGAAGUAAUAAAGUUCAGUACAAUCUAGCAAGAUGAGAAAUCAAAAUGACGACUGAUGUGAUGACAGUUCAUUGUUAGUGGAUUCCUACUAUGUGCUGCUCUUCUCCCGGCUUCAGGACAACAAGAGACCCUAUGUUGUUCUGUGCCAUCUGCAAAUAUUUCAUCCUAUCAGUUAUGCUAUGUGUCGUAGUCGUGAAGAGCACGGAGACUCACUUGCUUGACAGCAUCAUAGACGGUGUCAUCUGUUCGACACCAGACCCAGGAUCCGAUCCUGUCUUGCCCUUUGGUCGAUAGCACCUCUGCAAUCGUUGUGUUGUGCAGUCCCUUCUCCGGCAAUGGCAUCGAGUAGGAUCUUGCAACCAUUGCACCUUUUCUAUGCUUUAUCAAGUUCAGUAAGUGAUGCUGUUUCUUGAUGUGUAUAUGUUCACGGCAAAAUCGUACAAGGCCUUGCAUCUUUAAUACUAUAACUGAAAAACUUAUGGUCAUGUUCCUUGCAGUAAUAUGUUUCCUAGUAUGCGUACAAAAAUUUAUGUAUGAAGUUUCUUAAGCAAGAUGGAAAUCUUGCAAUAUUUUCUAGAGA